CAUAGGGCGUUUUUCACUCGUGUUGUGAAAUGUUGGGUUAAGUCCCGCAACGAGCGCAACCCUUUUCCUUUGUUGCCAGCGGUUCGGCCGGGAACUCAAAGGAGACUGCCAGUGAUAAACUGGAGGAAGGUGGGGAUGACGUCAAGUCAUCAUGGCCCUUACGAGUAGGGCUACACACGUGCUACAAUGGCGUAUACAAAGAGAAGCGACCUCGCGAGAGCAAGCGGACCUCAUAAAGUACGUCGUAGUCCGGAUUGGAGUCUGCAACUCGACUCCAUGAAGUCGGAAUCGCUAGUAAUCGUAGAUCAGAAUCCUACGGUGAAUACGUUCCCGGGCCUUGUACACACCGCCCGUCCCACCAUGGGAGUGGGUUCCCAAAGAGGUAGGUAGCUUAACCCUCGGGAGGGCGCUAACCACU
rnacentral:rRNA from 1 species